rnacentral:tRNA from 5 species
GUCCCUGUAGUUCAACGGAUAGAACUGCGGUUUCCUAAACCGCCAAUCCAGGUCCAAUUCCCGGCAGGGACA